rnacentral:rRNA from 1 species
CCUACGGGAGGCAGCAGUGGGGGAUAUUGCACAAUGGGGGGAAGCCUGAUGCAGCGACGCCGCGUGGGUGAAGGAGUGCUUCGGCAUGUAAAGCUCUAUCGGCAGGGAAGAAGCAAGAUGGUACCUGACUAAGAAGCCCCGGCUAACUACGUGCCAGCAGCCGCGGUAAUAUGUAGGGGGCGAGCGUUGUCCGGAUUGAUUGGGUGUAAAGGGCAUGUAGGCGGGAAUGCAAGUCAGAUGUGAAAAAUAUGGGCUCAACCCAUAGCCUGCAUGUGAAACUGUAUUUCUUGAGUGCUAGAGAGGAAAUCAGAAUCCCGUGUGUAGCGGUGAAAUGCGUAGAUAUACGGAGGAACACCAGUGGCGAAGGCGGAUUGCUGGACAGUAACUGACGCUGAGGCGCGAAAGCGUGGGGAGCAAACAGGAUUAGAUACCCGAGUAGUC